rnacentral:rRNA from 1 species
UAGGGAAUCUUCCGCAAUGGGCGAAAGCCUGACGGAGCAACGCCGCGUGAGUGAUGAAGGUCUUCGGAUCGUAAAACUCUGUUAUUAGGGAAGAACAAAUGUGUAAGUAACUAUGCACGUCUUGACGGUACCUAAUCAGAAAGCCACGGCUAACUACGUGCCAGCAGCCGCGGUAAUACGUAGGUGGCAAGCGUUAUCCGGAAUUAUUGGGCGUAAAGCGCGCGUAGGCGGUUUUUUAAGUCUGAUGUGAAAGCCCACGGCGCAACCGUGGAGGGUCAUUGGAAACUGUAAAACUUGAGUGCAGAAGAGGAAAGUGGAAUUCCAUGUGUAGCGGUGAAAUGCGCAGAGAUAUGGAGGAACACCAGUGGCGAAGGCGACUUUCUGGUCUGUAACUGACGCUGAUGUGCGAAAGCGUGGGGAUCAAACA